UCAGACUCUACUGAGAGCUACCAUCAAUUACACACAAAGUCCUCAAAUCUCUUGGUAUCUCCUUUGCUCAAGUAUAAGACUAUGCUACAACCUAUUGUGCUGGGGGGAUGUUGGGUCCCGUGGUGAAGAAAAACCCAUAGCGCCAGGCGUCAGUCACAGAGGGGGAGUUUUACGUGACUUUUAAGUGUGUGCCCAGGGGGCUGCCAGCUGUUCUCCAGCUCUGUGCCACUUCCAGACCCUGGUGACAGACAUAGGCAUUCAGCAGAGACUCUACCAGCCAGUCCGUCAGAGCAGUGGUGCACGGGCCAGGGGAUGGAUGCAAGAAGUCAUCAAGGAGUUUUUCCUGUCGCUCGGAGUCCGCUCACUGGAAACAAGCACACGAUUUAAAAAGAUAUUGGAAGAACAGCUUGGACACAGAGAAAGGAAUGACCUGGAGUCUUAAAAAACAGACAAGCUUUUCAGUAGCUUGGAGCUUGGAACAAGAAGCUAAAAGUCAUGAGCUCAACAACAACAAUAGAGCCAAGAGCAUUCCCUCUCAUCUGGUGUCUGCAGUCCUGUGUCUGCUCCGAGGCGUGGGCUUCCAGGCACUCUGGUGGUGUCAACUCCAAGGACUGGUCCAGCUUGAGUCUGCUGCAUUUCCAAGCUCAGAUAACAUGGGAUGUUUUCAGGACAGCCUGGCUGCUGGCCAGGUUCUUGCCAGAACUGGGAAAUGGGAACCAGCAAAACAAAUGUUUUUAAUAUUAUUUUUUUUCUUUGUACGUGUCUGAAUAUGAGAGAAACAUAACAAAGAAAAACUCUAGGUUUUGACCUAUUCAGCAUCCAUUAGUGGUGUGCAUUCAAGGGUCUAGCUCGCCUGUAAUUCAAAAAGAUUUGUUCUAUAGUUGUAUUUGAAAAAAUCUAUUUUAGUACUUGCUAGAAGUUUUGGGGUUAGUUUUGGUUGCCUUUUAUAGAGGUGAGUUGGUUUGUGUAGGGUUGGUUGGUGUUUUGGUUUGUAUUUUUUUUUUUUUUUUUCAAAUGUCAUUAUUGUUUUUCCCUUCCCGUAUUUUCUUGGAUCAGAAGGUUCACUGAGAUGCCAAACUAUGGCUGGCUACAGCUCCGGUACAUCUUGUAACAAUGCAGGCCAUGACAUGCCAGAGUGAUGGAGCGUGGUAUGUACAGUCCAGGAAAGAUGUGACAGAUUAACAUUGCUGAUAAUGUUUCCUGCUCCAGAUCUUCUACUAAAAUCCCCUUCUUCCAGGUAGUUUAACCCUUGAGACACUGAUAUAGUGAGUACCUAAAGAAAAGAGAUUCCUGCAGACAACCACGGCAGUGGUGGACAGUUGGAGUAUUUUGUGCUCCAUCACAACAAUAUUUCUUCAUUGUAGAGCUGGGCAACAGUAGAAAUGCGGGUUAUUCUUUACUAGCAAGGGAACCGUAAUUUCUGCUUAAUUUCUGUGUAAUUUCAGGCAGUGUGCUGGCUGGGAUCUGCAUCCUGCCCCUGCUUCCACAAGGAGUACGAGGAAUGCUAAGCAGCAUCCACCACGGCAUGCUCCUCUGCAGAGUAAAGUGUGACGGCCCCAAAAUACAACCUUGGUCAGAAAGGUCAUGUUGGGGAGGAGGGUUGUAGGAGUAUGAAGAAAGAAAACAAUCAGUGUGAGGGGGGAAAAACCCCUUUUCUUCCUCUUCCCAUUCAUCUUCUCCCACUUUCCCCACCUAGAAGGCACGAAGUGGUGUGCAACACCUGCAAAACUUAUGUAGCAAUAGGCCAGGUUUUGCAAAGGUACUCUAAUUAAUCCUGGGUUUUGGGAUAUAAACAGGUUACAGUUUUGCUUUGGGUGAGGUGCUCAGGAACCAGUGAGAGUCCUACAGCCCUGACCUACAGGCCAGCCCACAAGGGAAGGUGACAAGCCUGGAUUACAGGUUCAUUAGUUCUUAACCUGAAACAAGAGGGAUGUGCAGGACGAACAGAUGUCAGUGUUUCUGAAGGAAGCUGCACUCUCACGUGAUGAAGUCUUAACCUGGUGGGAGGCAAUGAAAGUUGAUUGCUGUACUCACCAGGCUCAUGGUUUCCUUUGUAGUCUCUUUAUUUCACUCCCUAAAGGUUUAUAACAUCUAACUAUCUAACUAACACCAUAACUAUCUAACAUGGAUAGAAGAAGAGACUGUAGAGAUGGUUUGAAUAUCAGGAUUGCUCACCUGCCCCCAAGGGCGGGUCUGGAGCACUCAGAAGCUUCCUCCUGCUCAUCUGAGCAGUAGCAGGGCUUUCUUGGUGAAGCUCCAUUCCAUUUUUUACGACAGGAGGUAUAAGCAGUUUCCAAAAUUUGGAGAGGAAAUACACGUACAGCGCUCCCCUCAUUACAACAGUGAGUGGGAGGAAAGAAAGAAAAAUCCUGCAAUGAUCAUUAUUGAGUUGAAAAGAAAAAUCUCCAGGCUGCAGGCUGCCCUAGCCACUGGGGUUAGGCAGACAAUGAUUUUCCACCUAGCAUUGGGCAGGCUCAGGACAGGCUCUGGGCUGAAUCCUUGAUUUGGGAUGAUUCUUUGAUUUGGGAUAAGGAGCCCUGUUGUCCUGGAUUUAAAUAAUUUAUUGGGAACACACUUUUCAACAAUUACAUCCAGAAAUUCUGGUCUUAUUAAAGUCACAAGUGGAACUCGAUGAAUUUUGCCUGGCAGGAUCCAGAGAUGGAAAAGAAAGGGAAGAUCACCAGAAGCAGUCUUAAUUCAAAUAGUUGUGUUUUUCUGGAAGAGAGAGGAGAGAAGGAAACUCUUGGUAGUUAGUCAUUUUUCCCCACCUCUUCAACAGAGCCGCUAGUAUAGGGAAACUGGUGCCCAAACAUUAUUAUUUGCAAGCAUUUAUUAAUAUUUGUAUUUAUUGUUUUCAUGAAGCAGAAUCUCCGCAUUAGGUUCCAUCGCUUUCCAUUUAGCUUCUUGAUUAUCUAAUUGUGUCCAUGACUAAUGACUAUGGCAUCGACUGCUGCACAUAGUCCAUCCAUCCUUGCAUCUAUGCUGGAGAACAAAGUUACUGAAAGGUCAGUUACUGCACAGAUUUAUUGCACUUUAUCUGUUCUGCUGUACCUAGCCACACGCAUGCCCUCAGCCAGCAGCCCUCAAAGGGCAGCCUGGGCCAUGUUCAGCAAGGAUGUAGCUGCCUCCUCUGGUCCCAGGACAAGAGCUGGCAAAUGGGAAGUUACCUUAUUGUAAGUGGUGUGCUCUAAAAUUACACCCUAGCUUACCUUGCGGUAACUUGCUCGUGUAGUCAUGGCCUUAAGGUUUUUCUUUAGUAUCCAUGGCCACAACAUCUAAGCAUUUUAUGGUACAGCAUACACUAAACAUUAAUUUCAAAUUAUUGAGAAUAUUUUCAUGACUCAACAACUUUCUAAUGACCGUGUACCUUAUUAAAGUCUUGCAGCCCUUUAAUAACAAAGUUUUCCCUGAUCCCUUGGCAUUUAAACACCCUGUAUAGCUGAAAUUAAAUGCAUAGCUGAAGUGUUUUUUUAGGACACUCGAUUUAAAGUGAGCCCAAAGCAGCAAAGGACUCUUUGAACAUCUCUAGAGUGGACGCUCCCAGAGCUGUCUGUAUACAGUUUGAAUUAAUUAUUCCCUUCAUGGAAAUUGUACAAGAUGUCCCCCAGGCUCUUUUUGACUGCCUUGCUGCCCUUUUGUGAUAAUCCCUUGCUAUCCUCUGGGCUUUCUGCGGUCCUAAACUUAACAUAUAAAGCUAUUUUUAUCUAGGGGCUAGGGUGUGAAUAAAUGCAGAGAAUGUCUCUGAACAUGACUUUGUGUUCGUGAGCCUUCCUUCAGCUUGAUUAGAAACGCUCAAACUUUCUUGCAAGCUGCCUUUGAGCAUCCUCCGGUGAAAUAGCUGUAGUUAAGAAGGAUUUCUUCUCUCCUGGGUCACAUGAGGCAGCAAUCAGCCAGGAGCAAAAGGGAAGCUUGGAGGCAGACUGGAGGCUUAGGAGGUGAGGCCUCUGGUCUCUAUUCUUCCGUGCACCACUGCUGCAUGAAAUGACCUUGGACAUGUCUCCUCGACACUCUUGGGUAAAGUAGGUGUGACUCAGGCAAUCAUCCCGCAGCUACGCCAGCGCCCCACUGUGUGUCUUUGCUGGGCUCAGCUCAACUCAUUUAGCUGGGGUUACAAUAGCACCUUAGGGAGAUGGGUUCCCAACCCUCCAUUAAUUUUAAAUGGUGACACAGGUGCCUCAAGGGUUCUUAAAAAAUCCAGCCCUUAAUGUUUUAUGGAAAGGAUAUAAUGUGCCAGGAGAAAAGAAGGAUUUUGUUCUUGUCAUUAGUUGUGAUGAGUCCUUAGGGUGGAGGCAAAUAACUUCGUGGCAUUGCAAAGAUCCCUACAACAAGCCCCACAACCUCUUAUCUUUAAUGACCACCAGCAGAGAGAGCACACAGAACAACUGCUUUGUACCAAAAUACCAGCUCAGUCAGACAGCAGCUAGCCACAGGUUACCUGCCCCGCCAAGAGCCUUGCCGAGCUCCUCCUGGCAGCAGAGCUGCUUCUGAGAUUUUAAAAAGUGUCCAAGUCUACUUGUUCCAUCAUUUAAACAUCAGUUGAGAAAUUUCUGAUACACUUAAAAAAAAAAAGAAAAAAAAGAAAAGAAAACACAAAAAAAAUCCCCCAAAAGCCAAACCCACCAAACCACUGUAUGCAGCUUGGGACCCAACCAUGGCAGGGCUGCUGCUUGGGGUCAGCCGGAUGGGUGUCCUCAGGCACUGUCAGCUGUGCUCCAUCUGUGCUGGAGACUGCACUGGCAGGUUUGCUGGCCCAGGUGAGCCCGGUCUUGAUACUGUCUUGUACCCGCCUGGCCCAAGGCUUGCACAGGGGUACUACAGAGACCUGCUAAAAGCUAGACUGGGGUAAAGGCUAGCUUAGAGCCAAUGUCAGCUAGCUCGUGAAAGGGACAAAACACCUACAAGCUCCACAGAGCACCAGGAAGAACCCUACGUGCAUUCAGAGAAAUGGUGGUCUGAGAUGUUCUGGGCCCACAGGAGCUGCGCUCGGUCAGUUUGGGUCACAGGUAACGUGACCAGCGUUCUUUCAGGCCAUCAUCCUUCUUAUUUCAAUGUAAACACUUCCCACCUGUUCCAAAUAUGCAUGCCAUUCUCCGAGACUUUCCAGCAUUGCUUACAUUUGCAGAACUUUAUUCCCCGCUCCCUGUGCCGCAUCUGUUCCCAUCACAGCUGUGGCCACCCUGUUCUGUCUGGCUGACACCCCCGGCCCCCCCUUCCCCUCCAAACCACCUCCCCCUCCGAGAUCAAAAUACUCUGUUUUUAUUUAUUUACCCUGCAGCUGUCAGUGUUGUGUCUGGGUCAGUGCACUGCAACGUGGAGGGACACACGAUAGGUGGAAAAUCCUUAAAACUGCCAAUCCUGGUAGUAACCAACAUACACACCAUCAACAAAUAUAUCCCUUAGCCCUUUGCUCCUUUGAAAACAACAGGUCCAGGCAAUGGAAGAAAUGACGUUGUUGGAGGCUGGUACAGACAUCCUGGCCUGAGCCAGCACCGCGUUUGCAUGUGGUGAGGGAGAAGAGGCAGGGCUGAAGAUAGGGGCUAGCCCAGGGCUGCCCACCACGAUGUUUUUUGGCCCUGCCCAGAAAUGCGCAAGGCAGAGACAGGGCUGUGAGACGUCAGGCAAUGGCUCUGCUGUUGGCUGCCCCACACACUGCUUUUUAAGAUGAAGGGCAAUGCUGUAAGUGUUGCAAAGUGGAAGAUGCUGUUGAGGAACAGGAAGCAUCCAGGAUGGCACAUGGUGGCAGAGGCAGGCAGAGCAAGGAAUGAGUCUGAUUUUCUUCCGUUUCACUGCUGAAUUAGAAGCUCAGUAUCCAGACACCAGCUUCAGUGGGGGUGAGGCCUCAGCUCUGUUCAGCCACAACGUCCUGUAAAGACAGACUGGUAUGUGUGCUCACCAGUGGACCUCUCAUUCCUACAUUAGUGCAAAUCUUGCCCCUGGUGUAAAGACAAAAGUCUUUACCUGUGUAAAGCAAUGAGUAUGACUGUGAUUUAGGGUUGGAGAGAAAAAGGAAGAAUUUUUAAGUAGACAGUGCCUAGUAAUAUAGGUGCUUGCUGCUGACCACUGUUAACUGAUACAACACACUUUCUGUGUUUUCAGGAGGGCUUGCACAGUGGCUGGAUGAAUAGACUUGAUCAAAAUUCCCUGCUGUGCUGGUGAUACAGAACUGCAGUGGAUCUACUUCAUGUUGCCCACCCCGUGCGGCCCAGCAGCCACAAGUGAGACCAUGUUGUGCAGGCGCUUGUGUUUCUUCAUGGAACGGACCUGCAGGACCAGAUGCUGGCGGAUGUGCAGGAUGCUCAGUCUCCUCUGCUCAGGGUGUGAGAUAUGGAGUUGCUCUGCAUGCAGACCCGUCUUCUUGCUGCUUCACGAUUUGUGGUUAACACAGUGCUCGGAGAAACCCAGCAAAAAUCCCUCCGGGUGACUAGUGUUCCACCUUGCCAGGGAGAUCAAUCGAAGUUCAGCUGCCAACUUCAUGAACAAGAUUUCAACUCAUGUCUGUGAUUCGUGAUGAAAUGAAAUCCACGGCUUGAAAUCAUUUAUCCAGCAUAUCCGAUCAAACACAAACAUCCUCCGUGCUUUAAAAUAAAUGAGGGUUGGAGCCAGCUAGGCUGCUGCAGGGGUUUGUGAUAGAUUGAUGAGCUGAGAACAAGCUGCCACCCUCCACCCCCACCAUCAGUGACUUCCCAGCCUGGGGAAGGGGACGCUGAGGCUAGAGGUGAAGGAUAUACUUUCUGAUAAGUGUUACAGUGGGAGGUGAGAAAUAUGAGCUCCCAGAGGCAGAGAAGAGGAAAGAGGCAGGCACCGUGCUCUGUUAAGCAGGGUACAGCUUAGACACAGCAGCUGCUUGACAGGCUUCUGGCACGAGGGUCAGGGCAGGAGCAGCCCUGUGCUUGCAGCACCUGUUAUUGAAUGCUACCCGUAGGUACCAGGGCAGCACAGCCCAUGCUUUCUGGCUGAUACAGUCUUUUUCCAGUCGUGUGUGAAGGUAAGGGGGCUGUGAGAUGAAAGGAGGGAGCCGGUGAAACGGCUGACAAGGUCUGCCCUCUGUGAGAUGCAGUAACACCAGCAGCAACGCAGAAGGGCUUGCAUCCAAGUGGCUUUUUGGUGUU